rnacentral:rRNA from 1 species
AUUGAACGCCGGCGGCAUGCCUUACACAUGCAAGUCGAACGGUAACAGGUCUUCGGAUGCUGACGAGUGGCGAACGGGUGAGUAAUACAUCGGAACGUGCCUAGUAGUGGGGGAUAACUACUCGAAAGAGUGGCUAAUACCGCAUGAGAUUUACGGAUGAAAGCAGGGGAUCGCAAGACCUUGUGCUACUAGAGCGGCCGAUGGCAGAUUAGGUAGUUGGUGGGAUAAAAGCUUACCAAGCCGACGAUCUGUAGCUGGUCUGAGAGGACGAUCAGCCACACUGGGACUGAGACACGGCCCAGACUCCUACGGGAGGCAGCAGUGGGGAAUUUUGGACAAUGGGCGCAAGCCUGAUCCAGCAAUGCCGCGUGCAGGAUGAAGGCCUUCGGGUUGUAAACUGCUUUUGUACGGAACGAAAAGCCCUGGGUUAAUACCCUGGGGUCAUGACGGUACCGUAAGAAUAAGCACCGGCUAACUACGUGCCAGCAGCCGCCGUAAUAC